rnacentral:lncRNA from 10 species
GCGUCACCUCUGCUGUCUGUUAGCAGAGUGGAGGAGAAAAUACACAGCACAAACAACGUGAAAAAAUAGUUACUCUAUUCAUUAAAAGCUGUAACUUCCAGAUUGGACUUGAGAAGCAAUUAAGCAACAGAGGAACCUCAUCUACUAUCUGUAUUCAGGCAUGCUCAUGAGAACACGCUGCUCCAGCUGGACUUAGAGGAACCCGGUGCAUCACAGGCAUUCCUGACAGAGUCUCGUGGUCCUGCUGGUCCACUCAGUGGUACUCAGUCCUCCUCAUUCUCGGGGAUAGGUUCCAAGACCCCCAGGGGAUGCCUGAAACUGCGGAUGGUACCGAACCCUACAUAUAUUAUGUUUUUUUCCUAUACAUACAUACCUAUGAUAAAGCUUAAUUUACAAAUUAGAUAGAGUAAGAGAUUAACAACAAUUACAGCAAUAUACUGAAAUAAAAGUUAUGUGAAUGUGGUGAAAUGCCAUCACAUCCUUCAUACUCAUAUUUUUAGGACCAUAGGAGACCCAAUAUAUCUGUCUGUAUUGCAAUAAAUUACAAGGCUUUGACCAAAGACCCAGUU